AUGCAGCUUCAACCACUCAAAAAAGGUUUAAAAAUAAAUGUUAAUUUAUACCUUAUUGGUGAGUCUAAGUUGAUAA
rfam:Treaplasma parvum serovar 3 str. ATCC 700970, complete genome.